rnacentral:rRNA from 1 species
GGAGAAAUCUAAACGGCCGCGGAAUUUUAACCGUGCUAAGGUAGCAUAAUCAUUUGUCCUUUAAUUAAGGACUUGUAUGAAUGGUUAAACGAAAUAAAGCUAUCUAUAGGAUAUUAAAUAAAAAUUAUUUUUAAAGUGAAAAAUCUUUAAUACAAUAAAAAGACAAAAAGACCCUAUAGAGUUUUAUUCAUCACUAUAAAUAAAUAUAAAUGAAUUUAGUUGGGGCAACUAAUGAAAAAAGAAAUUUCUUUUUAUUAGCUAAAAAUAUAAUCAUUAAUUUAAUAAUAUAAAAUAAAUUACCUUAGGGAUAACAGCGUAACUUUUUUUGAGAGUCCAAAUCGAAAAAAAAAAUUAC